UACGUAGGCAGCAAGCGUUGUUCGGAGUUACUGGGCGUAAAGGGUGUGUAGGCGGUUUGUUAAGUUUGGGGUGAAAUCUCCCGGCUCAACCGGGAGGGUGCGCCGAAUACUGAAUAACUAGAGUGCGGGAGAGGAAAGUGGAAUUCCUGGUGUAGCGGUGAAAUGCGUAGAUAUCAGGAGGAACACCGGUGGUGUAGACGGCUUUCUGGACCGUAACUGACGCUGAGGCGCGAAAGCGUGGGGAGCGAACCGG
rnacentral:rRNA from 1 species